rnacentral:lncRNA from 1 species
AUGCCCCGCUGAUUAAUAUUCCUAAAAUAUCUUACAGUUACACACAUAUAAUAUUAAAUUUAUAUAAAAAAGUCAUGUUUUAUAGUAAGUUAUUUUUCUUUUUUUUCUAUUCACUUUUUUUUUCUUUCAUCAUGGCAUACUCUUUUGUCUAUGUUUUGUGAGUUGAAAUUGUUCAUAAUUACGACCAUUAACAAACUAAUAUGACAAAAUUCUAAGAGCAUCUCCAACCGUGAACCCAUUUUUGGAUUCUUUGUAGGACUUAUUAAGCCACGUCAGCUUGAAGCAAC